UACGUAGGUGGCAAGCGUUGUCCGGAUUUACUGGGCGUAAAGAGCGCGCAGGCGGUCGUUCAAGUCGCGUGUGAAAGCCCCCGGCUCAACUGGGGAGGGUCAUUCGAUACUGAUCGACUCGAAGGCAGGAGAGGGUAGUGGAAUUCCCGGUGUAGUGGUGAAAUGCGUAGAUAUCGGGAGGAACACCAGUGGCGAAGGCGACUACCUGGCCUGUUCUUGACGCUGAGGCGCGAAAGCUAGGGGAGCAAACGGG
rnacentral:rRNA from 1 species